GACAGAGGAUGCAAGCGUUAUCCGGAAUGAUUGGGCGUAAAGCGUCUGUAGGUGGCUUUUUAAGUCCGCCGUCAAAUCCCAGGGCUCAACCCUGGACAGGCGGUGGAAACUACCAAGCUGGAGUACGGUAGGGGCAGAGGGAAUUUCCGGUGGAGCGGUGAAAUGCGUAGAUAUCGGAAGGAACACCGAUGGCGAAAGCAGCGCGCUGGACCUCUACUGACGCUGAGGCGCGAAAGCCAGGGGAGCAAACGGG
rnacentral:rRNA from 1 species